CUAGAGAUUCAACAAUAACAAAAAAUCAACAAUAAAAAAAAACAAUAAUACCAAUUAGACAUCCAUAAGUAAGCAAUAUAAUCAGACACCAAAAAAAGUUAAUUAAAUAAGUAAAACAGCAGGAACCAUUAUAAAGACUGACUCCACACUCACAAGCUGAUCCUGGAGGAAGGUGGGACGAGCAAGUAGACUCACGGGGAUUAUACAGCGUACGUGUGAGUGUGCAGCCCCGCCACAAGUGUGAGAAGCGUGAGCAGCAGCAGCGCCGCCACACAUCGCCAGCGCCACCACAGCCUUCUUCCAUGCCUCUCCACGUCACACCUGAAUCAGCGCCCCGUGACACACCUUCCCAUACCUGCAAUUAAUCAAGGCCUCACACUUCAGGUAACGCCCCACACCUCAGCUUACCUGUUCUUAAUUAA